rnacentral:tRNA from 1 species
GCACUAGUAUCGAAGUGGCUGAACGACACGGACUGCAAAUCCGUUACGCAUUGCGUCAUCGCAGGUUCGAAUCCUGCCUAGUGCU